CAUUGCUGUGUCUAUUGUACACGGGGGACCAGCACCACAUUUCCUGUCAAAGGACCUCGUUAACCACAUUGUAGGGAAUCCCAGUUUCGGUGCCACUGUGGAAGAUAUUACAGAUGAGGAGAUAGGGAGAGUUCUGCAUCAGGUAUGAAGUGACCUCUAUUCAAGUAGUGGGUUUACUAUGAGAGCACAUUAUUUAAUUCAGAGUAAGGUCAUAGUGAAAAGAACAGACCAGAAGUUUCAGAUCUCCACUUCUAUCAGUAAGACAAAAUUUAAGUAAAAAAUAAUUUGAUCCCUGUUUUGUUUGAGUGGUUUACCAUUUGACUGACCAUUGCAAGAUUCUUGCCCUAUCAGGGAUGGGUUUUGCUAAGUCUUACAAAGUCUUUUUAACAGGUCCAGGAAGCAGAAUCUGUGGAAUCUCUGCAAAAUGUACUUUUGCAAAACAGCUCCAUGUUCCAGACUGCUGGAUGCUUCCUACAUGUGAAGACUUCUGAGGACAAGCAAACACUUGUGGAGGAAUACCUCAGAUGGAAGUAACAGUCGGCAGAAAGAAGGCAAAGCACUUGGAUUUUGGGCUGAUUUUCUUCUUGAUUGUGAAGAAAAAGCAACUGCUGUGUCCCUAGAGGAUGUACUGAUGUUCGCUACAGGGCUCGCAUCCUUUCCACCUGCUGGAAUAACACCACUACCAUGCAUUGAGGUCUUAACAAAUUCACCAUUCCCUAUGUCAAACACCUGUGCAAAUACGCUAAAGCUCCCUCUCCUUGAGACCUACAGUGUCUUUAAGACAAACAUGGAGUUUGGCUUACAGAAUUCUCCA